rnacentral:rRNA from 1 species
UACGUAGGGUGCAAGCGUUAUCCGGAUUUAUUGGGUUUAAAGGGUGCGUAGGCGGCCUAUUAAGUCAGGGGUGAAAGACGGUAGCUUAACUAUCGCAGUGCCUUUGAUACUGAUGGGCUUGAAUGUACUUGAGGUAGGCGGUAUGUGACAAGUAGCGGUGAAAUGCAUAGAUAUGUCACAGAACACCAAUUGCGAAGGCAGCUUACUAAAGUAUGAUUGACGCUGAGGCACGAAAGCGUGGGGAUCAAACAGG